GAUACUACUUUAAUUAAAUAAUUUAUAUUGAAAUUUAAAAAAUAUUUAACAAACAAAUAAAUCAUAAUCAGGCUUGUAUUUGUCCUGUAUAGUAUAGUAAACCUUGUUAUUAUAUGUAUUUUAUUUUUAUUUAAAUAUUUCAUUGAUGCAAACAAUCAAUAUUGCUCGCCAUUCAAGAAUUUGUCAUCGAAUUGACUCACUCAGACAACGGCAGAAUUUAUUGAUUGUUUAUAUUACUCAUACGCAACGUUGGAGGGGUGCAUUUUGUGGUCACACGAAUACAAAUCCUAGGCUUUUGCGGUUUAGAAGGUGUGGCAAGGGUUGAGGGAGAUAUACAUAUUCCAAUGAGGUAAUUGUCAAAUGGCUAAUAAGCAGUAUUUUCACCACACAUUUAGAAAACAAGAAUAAUAAAGUUAGAAUUAUUUGGGCCAACCUUAAGGGCCUAUAACUCCUGCUGUUUUCCCCAACUUUCAUCACCGCAAGAUGAGAAAUGAAAAUGGCAGGCAACUGGGUCAUCUUCCUAGAAAGAAAGACAAUGCCCGAAACCCAAAACCCAAAACACGAAAUCGCAAUCAUUUUACUUUUGAUUAUAAACAAAAUAAAAUGAAAAGAUGCUGGGUGAAAGAGUUGGAAAUUAUUUCUAGCCACUAAUCGCUGGCCAAAUUCGACCUAGAAAAGGCCUCAGUCAGGCUGUUGGAGAUCAUCUUCUUUCUAUUUCAUUCAGUUGGACAGCCAUGGAAAGGGACAGGAACCUCCCGGACGACAAAGUGAAAGAAAAUCUUUGAGGUUUUCCUCAGCACGAUUCGGCUAGCAUAUAAUUUGAAGAUUUAGAGAGUCGAGAUCGCAUUUUGCAUGCCAAAUGCCGGGCACAAUUUGUCCUCCAUGUAGAUCCCCAAAUCCAAAAAACCCAAAACCAAAAACCCAAAACCGAAACCAAAAACCAAACCAAAUCCAUACCAAGUUCAAAGUCGUGCCCAAGUCCCCAAGACUCUCCCCCUUUUUCGCCAGAACUUUCCGCACUUCACUCUACAUCUCUGGCCAAAGAAGGUCAUGGACAGAUUUUUAGGUACCAGCCCCUCUUCGGUCCACUGGUGGGUCUGUCUGCCCGGUCUCGGCCAAUUGACUGCAGAGAUUUAUUAUGGAAAUCUAUAAAAAAUAUGGCCAUAGAUUGGCAUACAUUCCCCCCAUCGUGGCCAGACCAGCCCGGACUUGGACCAGCUCGCUGAUAGCUUUAUAAUAUUUAUCUACCUUUCUAAAUCUGUCCUAAUUAGGAUUCGAUUCGGCCGGGCAAUCGAUACAUUCUUCUGGACUGGAUUCUGCUUUGUUUUAGCCUCCAAUCGAUUGGUUUGUUUACACAAAAGAGCCACUACAAUGCGGAAAUAUUUUGAGAAGUCUAUUUCUGGGACUACAAUGGGAGAUCUUACUUCUGUUUAACUUUUCCACUUUAAGAAGCUCAAUAAUGGCAGUUAUAAUGGCUUAACCAACAAACCAUCAAGUUUAUUUAUUUUUUUAUAAUUAGAAAAUAGAAUAAUUACCAAUAUAUAUUUAUUAUUUAACUGCCUUCCAUAAACCAUAAUUAUUUUAGAAUUAAAACUGGGUUUAUGCGCUCACAUCCAUCUCCUUCGUCCAAUUGAUUUUAUUGCUGGACAGUAGUGGCCAUCAGCUCCCUAGCUCCCAAAUUCCCUCUGCCCGCUGGCUACCGACGAUCCUAACUGUAAAAUUACAAACUUGCACCCCACCGCCACCCUUUCGGUCUAUUCUGGCCCCCGCCUCUGGGCCACUGAGCCGGCCGGAGUCUGGACGAUUCUCAUUUAAUGCAUUUCCUUAAGACGACAACGAAGACGAAGAGCAGCGCACUGGACACUUGACUGGACACCGUGGACAGUGAACACUGGGCUGGAGCGCACCGGACUUGUGUCAGCUAAAUUAUUUCCACGGCUCUCGAUUCGAUUCCUCAGCUCGUUGGGGCUCUUUUAUGGCCAACUUGCACGCAUCUGUCAGUCUAGCAGAGCCGAUGCAGCCGCCCCCUCCUUGGCCGAUGGAGUCCCCCCAUUUUUAUGACCUCUGCCAGCGGGCAAGUUAUCUACCAACUAGAUGCACUUGAAAAAAUAAUGGAUAAUUCUUAUGAAAAGGGGAGGAAAUAAAUAUUACAAAUAUAAAUUAAAAACAUCAAAUAUUUCAAGAAAAACACUUCAAAAAUAUUUUCAAAAUUUUCCAAAAAAUCCUAACAAUUUUCUGAAGUGCAAUCAUGGCCAUCUAAUCGCUUGGGAUGGAACGGGAUGGCAACUGCUUUUACCCAUCCCAAAAUAGCCAGCCCCCCCGAAGGAGAUGGAUUCAGAAAGAGACAGAGAGUGCGCAUGCGUGACUGCCCAAUGCAUCUUCUUAUUUAACAUUUUUCUUUCUUUUUCUUUUUGUUUUUAAGUAAAAAAGUCUUCCUGUUUCGGUUUCUUCUUCAUCUGCA